GGAGGGAGGGGAAGGGAUGGGGGAGUAUUUGCUGGGAAGUGGCUCUACCUUGCUCUCCUCCUGGGACGGCCAAGAAAGGGUGGCUGUGGAGCAGGGGCAGCAUGGGGCAGGCUGCUGUGUGGCUGCUGUUCUGGGCAGCGGCUCUUGAGGAAGGGGCUUUGCUAGUUCUCCUGAGGUGCCUGGGCCCCAGCUAGGAAGUGGAGGAGCUGGGGAGGGGGCACUGAUGUGACUGCCUGCAAGUUGCCUGGAACUCCAGGAAGAGGAGUUGGAGAGUCACCUACCCUUGCAGGGCGGGCUGUGAUGGUCCUCUCUGCCUGGGGAGAAGACAAAAGGCACAGGCAGGAGACACAGCUCAGUGGAUGAAGACACGUACUUCCACGCCUGACGACCCGAGUUCAGUCCUGGGGGACCUACCUGGUGGAAGGAGAGAACUGACUUCCACAAGGUGUCUUCUGACCUCCACAUUGGUGCUCUGCACCCCUCCCGAUAACUAAAAAUGUAAUUGAAAACUUUUUAAAA